rnacentral:tRNA from 1 species
AGGAUUUUAAGUUAACAUAAACUAAUGGUCUUCAAAGCCUUAAAUGAUAUUUAAAUCAAAUCCUG